rnacentral:rRNA from 1 species
GAUGAACGCUGGCGGCGUGCCUAAUACAUGCAAGUCGAACGAGAACGGAUUAUAGCUUGCUAUAAUUGUCAGCUAAGUGGCGCACGGGUGAGUAAUGUAUAGGUAAUAUGCCUCUUACUAAGGGAUAACAAAUGGAAACGUUUGCUAAUACCUUAUACUCCUUAUUAACAGAAGUUAAUAAGGGAAAGAUUUAUUGGUAAGAGAUUAGCCUGUAUUGUAUCAGUUAGUUGGUGGGGUAAUGGCUUACCAAGACUAUGACACAUAACUGGUUUGAGAGGAUGAUCAGUCACACUGGAACUGAGACACGGUCCAGACUCCUACGGGAGGCAGCAGUGGGUAAUAUUGCACAAUGGACGAAAGUCUGAUGCAGCAACGCCGCGUGGAGGAUGACACAUUUCGGUGCGUAAACUCCUUUUAUAUGAGAAGAUAAUGACGGUAUUAUAUGAAUAAGCACCGGCUAACUCCGUGCCAGCCGCCGCAGUAA